UACGAAGGGGGCUAGCGUUGUUCGGAAUUACUGGGCGUAAAGGGCGCGUAGGCGGCCUCGUCCGUCCGGCGUGAAAUGCCUGGGCUCAACCUAGGAAUUGCGCUCGAUACAGCGAGGCUAGAGUGUGGGAGAGGUUGGUGGAAUUCCCAGUGUAGAGGUGAAAUUCGUAGAUAUCGGGAGGAACACCAGUGGCGAAGGCGGCGACCUGGGCCAAUAUUGACGCUGAGGUGCGAAAGCGUGGGGAGCAAACAGG
rnacentral:rRNA from 1 species